GUCGAAAUAACCCAUUAGUUGUGCAUGCGCAUGUGCCGCUGCAAGAUGUCUGUUUGCUUUUAUCUGAUUAACAUCAGAAAUUUAAAGCAUUUAUAAGAAAGAAAAGCCACAAAUUAUGAGCUAACGACUACUUGAAGCUGCCAGUUGGUGCAAAAGAGAAAGACCGCGACGAAUAGCGAGUGAAUUAACGGCUUCAUUCCACUCUACCACCGUUGAAUAUGGCCGGCGCAGUAAGUAAUUUGAUAGAGGUUAAUCUCAGCAAGAGAUUCUGAAAUCAAGCUGAGACACAAGCUGCUGGCUAAGAGGCAUGACCCAGAGCAGGAUGUACAUAUAAGGCAUUGGUAUUUAAUGUAGGUUACCAAAAAUAAACACAAAAAGUAAGAUAAUAUUUUAAUGGAAAAAAUUGAUGUAAAAAAAUGAACCAGAGUUAUAAAGUAGAAAAACCUAGUUUUCCUUCCAAGUUAGACUUACAGGUUCUUGUAUAAUGUGUGAUUAGUGACAUUUAGGCUAUUUAGGUUCAUAAAUAGUCUCUUGCAAUUACAAUGACUCAUGGUAAAGUAAUUGAGGUAGUAAGUUAAUCAUAAAAAAACAGGUCUCCUAUAUGAUCCCUUAAGAUCAUAUUUAAAGCUUUUUAGAAAUCAAUUUUCCUACUUCAACCUAGUUCAAAUUAUAGGCUAAAUAGAUGCUUAUAAAAAUGAUUCUAAUUUGAUAAUUUUAGGUUAACAGGUUUAUUCUAGGUUGUUAUAUGUGGUUCUUAUCUGUAUAAUAAAAUAAUGUACUCAGAUUUUUUUCAAAUAUGUUGGAGUGCUUUUAAUCCACCCUUAGCAAAGUUACAUUCUUAAGCACAAGAGAGAAGGUUAAUAAAGAUAUUUUUUCAAUAUUUGAAUUGCUAACUUUAAAACUUACACAAGAGAAAGAAAAUGAUAAAGCCCUAUCUUUGCAAGUUAAGUAAAGUAAUAUAAAAAAGUAAAAGGAAUUGGGACAGUACAGGCAGGGAAUGAGUACUUUUACCUCAAAUCCACUAUAAUAGUGUGAUAUGCUGAUAUACUUAUAAAUGUAUAGGAAUUUCACUUGUAUUUGUUUAUUGUUUUUAAUUUUGAAGAGAAUAAAAUAGCACCAAGAUUUUUGUGUGAAGAACUUUAAUUGAUCCUCAUGUUAAAACAAAUACAGUAUGACCUCCCUUCAUACCUGAAAGCCUUCCCUGUAAAUCAAAGCAUAAAUUUAUUUUGCUAAUUUUGCUGUAUCAGUUGUCUAUCAAGUAUAGUUUAGUUAAUGAUAUCCUUAGUAAUAUCAAUAAAUACUUUUUUUUACCUAAAACAAAAAAAAAACAUAUUUGUUCUAGGUAUUCCCUAUGAGGAUUGGGAGGACACCUUUUAAUAAUAAUUGCAAUAUUUAUAGAACAUGCAAUCUUUAUAUGUUUUACAUAUGGUGCCUUUUUGUGGGUGGUGGAACAUGAUGCAUAAUGAAAUUGCAGGGAAGGGGGGUUCUACACAAGUUUAUGCUGAAAAAAGUCAUGCUGACUCCGCUUUUAGGCAGUGCCUAAAUCUAUAUAUUGUUUUUAUGUAAUGAUGGUCAAUAAAAUUAAAUUACGAUUGCAAGCGUUGAACAUUAUGGACAUAAAACGAGCAGAUAGCACACAAGUUUAGAAACAGUAAGCAAUUCUUGAAAAUUACCUGUGGGCCACUACAAAUAA